GACGAACGCUGGCGGCGUGCCUAAUACAUGCAAGUAGGACGCAGUUGCGAACGGGUGAGUAACGCGUAGGUAACUACCUAUUAGAGGGGGAUAACUAUUGGAAACGAUAGCUAAUACCGCAUACUAGUAGAUGGACCUUCGUUGUAGUAGCUAGUAGGUAGGGUAAUGGCCUACCUAGGCAACGAUACAUAGCCGACCUGAGAGGGGGAUCGGCCAAACUUGGACGUGGACACGGCCCAGACUCCUAAGGGAGGCAGCAGUAGGGAAUCUUUGGCAAUGGGGGGAACCCUUACCGAGCAACGCCGCGUUAGUGAAGAAGGUUUUCGGAUCGUAAAGCUCUUUUGUUACGGAAGCGGUACUUACCCAGAAAGGGACGGCUAACUACGUGCCAGCAGCCGCGGUAAUAC
rnacentral:rRNA from 1 species